GGCCAAUUCUAAAAAUAUAACAUAUAUGGACCCGGUGUUGAUAUAAAAAGUUUCCUCUUGAACCAACAAACCUGUUGUAAAUGAUGUCUCAGUAAUCUGUCACAUUCUUCUAUGAACCUAUCUAGUCUUGUUAAGCUCCAAUUUUCGUUGUGUCAAAAUAAUAUAAUGUCUUAGUUAAAAUAUUUUAAUGUCAAUAUGACCACCAAUUUUUUUAUUGUAUAUUAUAUGUGAGUAAUGAUGAUACAAAUCUCAAACACGCAAAUCGAUGACGCGGAUCUAUUUAUGCAUGUGUUGUCACCGGUAUUGCGUCGUUUGAAAUCCAAUCUUCUACCUCCCUACUUAAACCGCUGAACCGGCUUUAACUGAUCAUCAGAUCCUGCUUCAUGCUGCUUGAUACACCCUAGGUCGGAAUGUUGACUUGCCCACCAGCGAGUCAUUUCAUAACAGAACACAGUGAAUGAAACAGGUGUGGGAUAUUACUACAACUUGUUGAUUGUGUCUUGGUGCGUGGUAGAUAUUCCAGAAUAUAUGAGGACAAACGUGGUAUAUAUUACGUUUGACUCGAUGGGGCGACUUUCAUUGAAACCUUAUAAACGCAGUGACUCUAUCUCUGUCAGUACGGUGUAUAUGGGUGAUCAGGCUCAUUGACACGUCAUCGUUCUGAAAAAGCUACACCCGCUUUUCUCCCUACCGGGAAGUGCAGUCACUACCUUCAGUCUGUGCUACAAGGACAUAGCCAGCCAUGGGACAGUUAUUCUCCACCUCCACAUUUGGCGCCUCUUACGACAAACUGAAUACACUUGGUGAAGGGAGUUUCGGCGUUGUGUAUAAAGCAAGAAAUCGAUACACAAAAGAACUUCAUGCGGUGAAGGAAAUUAAAUUUACACUUGAUGCGACGCAGCGUGAGCAGUUUUCUAGAGAAGCAGAAUUACUGAAAAGAACCAGAGGUCAUGCAAAUAUUGUAUCAAUUUAUUGGCUCUUUCAUUUGGAGUGACAGUUUCUAUAUAAUCAUGGAAUUGUGUGAACUUGGAGACCUUAAUUAUCAUGUGACAA